AGAGACAACUGAUUUCACCACCUCUGCAAACACAGUUAUUUUCAUUUUAAAUUUAAAAAAUUUCUUAGAGCAUUUUUCAUUGGACCAACCUGAGGGGGCCGGUCUGGCUUCCUUGGCAAUAGAUUUUACUACUUGCUACAAAUAAGGAAUCAUUUGUGAUGUCUACAGAAUUUGAAACCUUCGCCACUUUGAAUCCUGCUUUCAAAUGUCCUUUUGCAAGGCCUGCCAAGAGCAAACUCCUGUGUAGAGAGCCAGUGUUUCAUUUGCAAUUGAAAGAGACAACUCCUAUCAUUGAAUGUGGUUUUUAAUGGAAGGGAAAGAGCAAAAGUUGGAAAGGAAGAAACUCGAUGAAGAGUUGAGGAGAUAACUGAUGGAAGUCUGUGAGGGGGAGAGACAAGACCUUAGUCCUUGUGGCUUUUGCUGCUGUGUGGGAGCCAUGAACUGUUUCUCCUCUGUGCCGCCCCUCUGCCACGGUACCACCCUGCCUCAGAGCCAGCUGAUUAUGAACUGAAGCCCACUGGAAACGAUCCUUUCUACUGAAGACAUACAGCAUAAGAUCAACAGGACUGAGUUUUUUUCUUCCAAUGAGAGGAUUGUAUUCUCUUGGGACUCAAGAGCAAAAACAGAGACAUCCAUCUUCAACAAAUAUACAAGAUAACACCUACCGAUAUACCAAUUACAAAUCUGUGAUGCUCUCCGCGACUGGAAUUCCACUUAACUACCAAUUCCCAAGAAGCCCGAUUCAUUUGCUAAAGGAGAUGAAGCAAACCACAGUCAUUAUUACAGGGAACGUAUCGCAUUUUCGCCCUUUGAGGCAAUUCUAAGAGGGCUACUUCACCUUACGUCUUCAAUCACAUGACGGUGAGAAAACCCUAUAACUGAGAGGGUAAGAGUUUACCAUGGUACGCAUGAAAUAGAACAAAACAGUUGGGCUUCUACAGCGUUUUACGGAAAACCUCUUCUGACCCUUUUAUGAACAAUUCCUUUGGUGAAGUCCCCAUUUUAUGUUGGCUUGCUCUGUCAUCAGUGUGGAGUUAUGGCUGGAAUAAAUUCUUGUUGAGGCCUUUGAGGUUGGCAUGGGAAUGUCUUUCUUUCUGAGGUCUUAUAAUUGAUGUGUCUAAUUUGUCAAGUGUGGGACAUAGCCUAUGCUUUAUUCACAGACCUCUACAGAAGUUAAUUGUCAACUGUCACCUUCGAAAUCUGGCACCAGAAUCUGAUAUUU